rnacentral:rRNA from 1 species
GAUGAACGCUGGCGGCGUGCCUAAUACAUGCAAGUCGAGCGAAUGGAUUAAGAGCUUGCUCUUAUGAAGUUAGCGGCGGACGGGUGAGUAACACGUGGGUAACCUGCCCAUAAGACUGGGAUAACUCCGGGAAACCGGGGCUAAUACCGGAUAACAUUUUGAACCGCAUGGUUCGAAAUUGAAAGGCGGCUUCGGCUGUCACUUAUGGAUUGACCCGCGGCGCAUUAGCUAGUUGGGGAGGUAACGGCUCACCAAGGCAACGAUGCGUAGCCGACCUGAGAGGGUGAUCGGCCACACUGGGACUGAGACACGGCCCAGACUCCUACGGGAGGCAGCAGUAGGGAAUCUUCCGCAAUGGACGAAAGUCUGACGGAGCAACGCCGCGUGAGUGAUGAAGGCUUUCGGGUCGUAAAACUCUGUUGUUAGGGAAGAACAAGUGCUAGUUGAAUAAGCUGGCACCUUGACGGUACCUAACCAGAAAGCCACGGCUAACUACGUGCCAGCCGCCGCAGUAA